AUCGCUUCUCGGCCUUUUGGCUAAGAUCAAGUGUAGUAUCUGUUCUUAUCAGUUUAAUAUCUGAUACGUCCUUUAUCCGAGGACAAUAUAUUAAGUGGAUUUUUGGAGCAGGGAGUUGGAAUAGGAGCUUGCUCCGUCCACUCCACGCAUCGGCCUGGUAUUGCAGUACCUCCAGGAACGGUGCACCCCCU
rnacentral:snRNA from 1 species